rnacentral:rRNA from 1 species
UAGUCCACGCCGUAAACGAUGGUUACUAGCUGUUCGGACUUCGGUCUGAGUGGCUAAGCGAAAGUGAUAAGUAACCCACCUGGGGAGUACGUUCGCAAGAAUGAAACUCAAAGGAAUUGACGGGGGCCCGCACAAGCGGUGGAGCAUGUGGUUUAAUUCGAUGAUACGCGAGGAACCUUACCAGGGCUUAAAUGUAGAUUGACAGGUUUAGAGAUAGACUUUUCUUCGGACAAUUUACAAGGUGCUGCAUGGUUGUCGUCAGCUCGUGCCGUGAGGUGUCAGGUUAAGUCCUAUAACGAGCGCAACCCCUGUUGUUAGUUGCCAGCGAGUAAUGUCGGGAACUCUAGCAAGACUGCCGGUGCAAACCGCGAGGAAGGUGGGGAUGACGUCAAAUCAUCACGGCCUUUAUGCCUAGGGCCACACACGUGCUACAAUGGUACAUACAGAGGGUAGCGAGACGGUGACGUUGAGCCAAUCUCAGAAAGUGUAUCUCAGUUCGGAUUGGAGUCUGCAA